UGGCGUGUGGGAGCCUGGAGAGAGGCCAGGAUUACUGAGGACUCCUCCUUGAUCCACGUAGAUGCUUAUGGUAAUGCUCCUUGCCCAUCCCCUGCAGCUGCCUGCACUCUAUACGCACACACACACACACACACACACACACACACACACACACACACACACACACACACACACACACACACACACACACGAGGCAGAGUCCAGUUUCAUGAUCACAGCAGUCCAUAAGUAUAGGUUGUGUGUCCUGAAUCACCGGGCUUAGUGAUUCACUUCUCCCAGUGCAACCUUAGCCUUUCUCUGAGUAUGUGUGAGUCUGCGGCCCUGCGUCAGGGCUGCAGCAUUGCUGUUUAUGUCUGCUGGCGUGUGCUGUGCGCAGGCUGCACCCCGGCUGACGCACUACCACCUCAGCGGGUUAACCUAUUCUACACGCGUUCAGGCCUCUGUGCCCGCUCGGCCCAUUCGGCCAGUUUUCAUUUUCCUUCCUGUUAUCCAAAAGCAGCUACUGUAUAUUGAUGUGAGAGUUGUAUUUAUCCUGAAGCCUGACUGAAAGUAAGAAAAGAAACCAGAGCAUUUCGUAAAAUUUCGAAAAACUCUCUUUCAAUGAGUCGUGAUCCUUUUCUCACCUGAAGAACAGAGUCCUCCCGUCGGGUUUCUCCUUUCCGGCUGCUCCAGGCCAGACCACUUCUGCCCCGUCAGGCCUCUCCACCAUUACACUGGCUGCCGCGUGAGAAGCCACAGGCCUGCACUCCACCCUUAACAAAAUCAUGUCAAAAAGCAAUUAAUAUCUUAAUACCUCCAUCAGCGCCAACCACCAAAAGGUCCGACCCCUUUGUUUUUCCGCCGCUGGGCGCUCCUCGCCCGGCCCGUGGUUUCCUCGGUUUCAUUUCUCAGUGCCCUGGUGGUCAGCUGUGGUUUUCCAGGGGGCACAGGGUAGGACGUUGUGGGCAGGGAGGUCCUCCACCCCCCUGGAGCAUUAAGUACUACUGGCCAGGCCUGAGAGCUCCGGUGGCCGCAGCGCUGACCCCAUCUAAUGCAGCAGGCUGAACUCAGACCAGAGACGCUCAUCCGCUCCGCAGGCUUUCCAUCCAUUAAGGAGACGCCGGGAUAAUGGCCGACACCUCGGACUGUUUCAGCGCGCGGCUCAGGGCGUUUACUGUGAUGGGUUUUCAUUUAUUUCAACGCCGAACCAACCGUUUGAGUUCCGCCCCGAGUUCCAUUCACGGGUGGAUGUUGUGUCUAGAACGGGGAGAACUUUGGUCUUUUUUCUCUCUCUUUCCAGAUCAGGCACGUCAAGAAAUGAUUAAUGAUGUUGUCUUUUCUGUUCUUAAGCCAGAUAGCCAAAAACGCUGACGCAGCCUUUUUUUUUUUUUUGUCUCCACACAGCUUAUGCAAGCUUACGUUGCACAAGCUUCCGCCAGGCUGCGCGCUGGCCGGGGGUGAUGGCGCAACACCAGCUGAGCCGGCCAGACUUCAGGAAGUGGACUAUAAAGCGUGAAGCGUGCGAAUGAUUGCCCUGACUUGGACAAUGGUGUCUACACUCCACGCGCCAAAGGCUGCAGCCUUUUCCAGAACUUUGAUUUAUCUUUAAAGGGAAAAGACAAUGAACCAAUUGAACAGCUCGAGUUCUGAUUGCCGAUGGUUUAAGACGGAGAGAGGGUGUUGUGAUCCGCCCUGCAUUCGCGCUGAAAGGGGCCCGUUGUAGAAGAGAUUGAUUUAAUGUUUAUCCCUCUGACAGGGCAGAUAGGGAAGAGUCAUAAUUCUGUGCACUGGGGAGAUUAAAUUCCUGUAUCGCUGUCAGCUACAUUAACUGACUUCCUGGAUCUCAAUUCAAUUAGCGCAGCAGCAUUCUCUAGCAUUAAUAAAUCAAUAGUGAUGGCCUGCUGAUAGGCGCUCUGCACGCAGCAUGUUGAGGAUGCUUUCUGUCCACACACGCAUCCACCGGCGUGUCUCUGCACUGUUCAUUAACCAUUCGCAGCCCCGCCGUCGUCAGCGCUAGCUAGCGUGGCAGCGGACGUUUAAGCUACACGCGCUUUUAAGCACAGAUAGACUGACUGGAGUCCCCACACAAGUGUUUGUUCUCCUGAUCACCUUAUUGUUGCUGUCAGCUUAGUAAUUAAAGAUGGAUGGUCCCUCGAGGCCCCUUUACUCUUCACUUACUACUAGCGAAGAUGCCGAGCCACAAGGCGCUCGUGCCUGCGCGCCGAGGAGACGACGUACGCGAUUGUUUUCCAGCCGUUAAACCUCUGCAGAUGUUUGGAGACCUCGGUGACAGCCAGUGGAGAAGCAGAACCAGAUCACGGGUGCCACUGACAAGGAGGAAAGGAAGAGGGGGAAAAGAUAGGACGUGCUAUUCCAGUUGACCUUUUGGAAAGAACGUCAGAACGGUUGGGAGAAGACGUUCACAUACUUUUAUAAUUUGUUAAUUGAUCGUGUCACAUCUGCUUUGGCAGAGACAUUGCCACUAUUUGGGUUUGAGCGUGAUCUAAGUGGAUGAGAGUAUCCAGACAGUACAGCGUUAGUAGGAUCAUCUCUCUGGUACUUAAAGUAUUGUUUCUUUUAUUAAAAACUCAUUCAUAGAAGCAUUUGAUUCUUGCUUCCUAGGGUAUAAGUUAUGUUUUAGUACCUGUGCAUUUCUAAACUUUGCAAUUAGUUGACAUGGAUCUUUAUUAUUGUCUUCACCAAUCUGUGUCACUGGCCAUUUAAUUGUUCUACUCGCUGUUUUUCCAGUGGAUACUCUCGUUUCUUAGAUGUUGAUUUCACUCUGAUUACACAAACUAUACGUCACUCUAUGAAUUGCCAGAGGCUAAUUUGGCCAGUCAGCCUGAUGAGACAGUUGAUAAGGGCAUUGAUUGGCUUCUGAAGGAGGGAAGGAUUUCAUUGGGACAAAGAUAUGGGGGCAACACGGCAUUCAUUUCAGCAAUCAGCCCACCAUCCUCCCUCCUUCCUUUCCUUUCCCCAUUUGGCCAAACUCUUCCCAGAAGUCCUUCAAUAUGGAUUACACAGCAUUGUGUGCACAGUGGUAAUUCAAGGUGAAAUAAAACUCUUCUAAUCCUAUCGGCCACAGCAGCGAGCAAGAAUAGAAGGACCGAACUCAAGCUAGAGGUGAUUAGUUGUAGUUGAGCUCUCCUUUGAUUAGCAUAUCGUCCUAUUCUGGACGCUGAUUUGGUAGGAACGGUCUACUGAGCAUGUGCUCAGUAAAGUCCCUGUCUCCUCCUCUUUCUGGAUUCAACCACUGCUCCAAAAAAUCAUAGCCCUUCAUUAUCUCCAGUCAAGCAAUUUUGGGAAUAUAAUACUGUCUCAGAACUGGAGAACCUGCCCCCAUCAGGUCUGGGGCCUGAUCAAACCACUUGCACCGGGAAGCACGCCCGCCAGUCGGUUCAUCUCCCUUCAAAGGCAUAUGGUGCAAAUUUGAUCAAAAGUGUAAGAAGAGGGGGGUUUAAAGGGGGCAUUCAUGUCGCUGAUGUGAAAAAUAAGAUUGGGCUGUAAAAAACCAAAUCAAACCAUGCUCAGCUCUCUGGGAGUGAUUAGAGCCAAAGAAGAACCAGCUGCAGCGCUGUCAGACGCAUCUCAAUCUGCGCUAUGCACUGGCAGCCUGCUGGCUGGACAGGGCAAUGGAUGGAGGGGGGGGGGCGAGAAGGAG